rnacentral:rRNA from 1 species
GAUGAACGCUGGCGGCGUGCCUAAUACAUGCCAGUCGAGCGAACAGACGAGGAGCUUGCUCCUCUGACGUUAGCGGCGGACGGGUGAGUAACACGUGGAUAACCUACCUAUAAGACUGGGAUAACUUCGGGAAACCGGAGCUAAUACCGGAUAAUAUAUUGAACCGCAUGGUUCAAUAGUGAAAGACGGUUUUGCUGUCACUUAUAGAUGGAUCCGCGCCGCAUUAGCUAGUUGGUAAGGUGACGGCUUACCAAGGCAACGAUGCGUAGCCGACCUGAGAGGGUGAUCGGCCACACUGGAACUGAGACACGGUCCAGACUCCUACGGGAGGCAGCAGUAGGGAAUCUUCCGCAAUGGGCGAAAGCUUGACGGAGCAACGCCGCGUGAGUGAUGAAGGUCUUCGGAUCGUAAAACUCUGUUAUUAGGGAAGAACAAAUGUGUAAGUAACUAUGCACGUCUUGACGGUACCUAAUCAGAAAGCCACGGCUAACUACGUG